rnacentral:rRNA from 1 species
AUUGAACGCUGGCGGCAGGCCUAACACAUGCAAGUCGAGCGAGCGGCGGACGGGUGAGUAAUGUCUGGGAAACUGCCUGAUGGAGGGGGAUAACUACUGGAAACGGUAGCUAAUACCGCAUACCAUCAGAUGUGCCCAGAUGGGAUUAGCUAGUAGGUGGGGUAACGGCUCACCUAGGCGACGCUCCCUCGCUGGUCUGAUAGGAUGACCAGCCACACUGGAACUGAGACACGGUCCAGACUCCUACGGGAGGCAGCAGUGGGGAAUAUUGCACAAUGGGCGAAAGCCUGAUUCAGCCAUGCCUCGUGUGUGAAGAAGGCCUUCGGGUUGUAAAGCACUUUCAGCGGGGAGGCGUUACCCGCAGAAGAAGCACCGGCUAACUCCGUGCCAGCAGCCGCGGUAAUUC